AUUGAACGCUGGCGGCAGGCUUAACACAUGCAAGUCGAGCGGUAGCACAGGGGAGCUUGCUCCCUGGGUGACGAGCGGCGGACGGGUGAGUAAUGUCUGGGAAACUGCCUGAUGGAGGGGGAUAACUACUGGAAACGGUAGCUAAUACCGCAUAACGUCGCAAGACCAAAGAGGGGGACCUUCGGGCCUCUUGCCAUCAGAUGUGCCCAGAUGGGAUUAGCUAGUAGGUGGGGUAAUGGCUCACCUAGGCGACGAUCCCUAGCUGGUCUGAGAGGAUGACCAGCCACACUGGAGCUGAGACACGGUCCAGACUCCUACGGGAGGCAGCAGUGGGGAAUAUUGCACAAUGGGCGCAAGCCUGAUGCAGCCAUGCCGCGUGUGUGAAGAAGGCCUUCGGGUUGUAAAGCACUUUCAGCGAGGAGGAAGGUGGUGAGCUUAAUACGUUCAUCAAUUGACGUUACUCGCAGAAGAAGCACCGGCUAACUCCGUG
rnacentral:rRNA from 1 species